GACGGCGGGAGCUAGCGUUGUUCGGAAUCACUGGGCGUAAAGGGCGCGUAGGCGGCCCAUGCCGUCGGCUCGUGAAAGCCCGGGGCUCAACCCCGGAGGUGCGGCCGAGACCCAUGGGCUGCAGGCCGGAAGAGGAGGGUGGAAUACCCAGUGUAGAGGUGAAAUUCGUAGAGAUUGGGUGGAACACCGGUGGCGAAAGCGGCUCUCUGGUCCGGUUCUGACGCUGAGGCGCGAAAGCGUGGGGAGCAAACAGG
rnacentral:rRNA from 1 species